rnacentral:SRP_RNA from 1 species
GGGAGAUCGGCGGCGGGCAGGCCCCUCGCCAACCCGGUCAGGUCCGGAAGGAAGCAGCCGUAACGAGUGCACGGCUUGGGUCGUCGCUUGAUCUCCCACC